rnacentral:tRNA from 1 species
GACCCUGUAUCCCAAUCGGCAGAGGAAACUGGCUUAAAAUCAGUUAAGUGUAGGUUCAAAUCCUACCAGGGUCA